UACGGAGGGUGCAAGCGUUGUUCGGAAUUAUUGGGCGUAAAGCGCGCGCAGGCGGUCUGGAAAGUCUAUGGGUGAAAUGCCGGGGCUCAACCCCGAGCAUGCCCAGGAUACUGUCAGACUGGAGACACGUAGAGGCAAGCGGAAUUUCGGGUGUAGCGGUGGAAUGCGUAGAUAUCCGAAAGAACACCGGAGGCGAAGGCGGCUGCUGGGCGUGAUCGUGACGCUGAGGCGGCGAAAGCGUGGGGAGCGAACGAGG
rnacentral:rRNA from 1 species